UACGAAGGGGGCUAGCGUUGUUCGGAUUUACUGGGCGUAAAGCGCACGUAGGCGGAUUGGUCAGUUAGGGGUGAAAUCCUGGAGCUCAACUCCAGAACUGCCUUUAAUACUGCCAAUCUCGAGUCCGGAAGAGGUAAGUGGAACUCCUAGUGUAGAGGUGGAAUUCGUAGAUAUUAGGAAGAACACCAGUGGCGAAGGCGGCUUACUGGUCCGGUACUGACGCUGAGGUGCGAAAGCGUGGGAGCAAACAGGA
rnacentral:rRNA from 1 species